rnacentral:rRNA from 1 species
UAGGGAAUCUUCCGCAAUGGACGAAAGUCUGACGGAGCAACGCCGCGUGAGUGAAGAAGGAUUUCGGUUCGUAAAACUCUGUUGUCAGGGAAGAAAAAAUGUAUAGUAACUAUAUACAAAAGAGACGGUACCUAACCAGAAAGCCACGGCUAACUACGUGCCAGCAGCCGCGGUAAUACGUAGGUGGCAAGCGUUGUCCGGAAUUAUUGGGCGUAAAGCGCGCGCAGGUGGUUUAGAAAGUCUGAUGUGAAAGCCCACGGCUCAACCGUGGAGGGUCAUUGGAAACUAAUAAACUUGAGUGCAGGAGAGAAAAGUGGAAUUCCUAGUGUAGCGGUGAAAUGCGUAGAGAUUAGGAGGAACACCGGUGGCGAAAGCGGCUUUUUGGCCUGCAACUGACACUGAGGCGCGAAAGCGUGGGGAGCAAACAGG